GACGAACGCUGGCGGCGUGCCUAACACAUGCAAGUCGAGCGGGAUCCAUCCGGUAGCAAUACUGGUGAAGAUCUAGCGGCGAACGGGUGAGUAACACGUGAGAAACCUGCCCCAGACUCUGGGAUAACACGAGGAAACUCGUGCUAAUACCGGAUACCUUCUUUUGGUCGCAUGGUCAGCUGAAGAAAGAUUUAUCGGUUUGGGAGGGUCUCGCGGCCUAUCAGCUAGUUGGCGGGGUAACGGCCCACCAAGGCAUCGACGGGUAGCUGGUCUGAGAGGACGAUCAGCCACACUGGGACUGAGACACGGCCCAGACUCCUACGGGAGGCAGCAGUGGGGAAUCUUGCGCAAUGGGCGAAAGCCUGACGCAGCAACGCCGCGUGCGGGAUGACGGCCUUCGGGUUGUAAACCUCUUUCAGUAGGGACGAAGCGCAAGUGACGGUACCUACAGAAGAAGGACCGGCCAACUACGUGCCAGCCGCCGCCGUAA
rnacentral:rRNA from 1 species